CUCUGAAAUACCCUGCCAGCUCUGGUUAAUCAUUACAGGCCAUGCCUGUGGAACAACAGACAAGCCCUUCCCAACACAGCUCCUUGUGGCUUCACCAAUGAGUCCUGUAUUUUGCGUGAGCCCCCAAGAUAUUUCUCCACGACUGUAUUUGAACUGCCAACCUGCAUUCAGAUCAAACAAUACCAGAGAUCUGAAAGCUCACUUGAAAAAACAUCGACCAAGGAAUUGUUCCUGUUAAACACAGCUGUCUUACAAAAACUCUGUGCACCUAGCUUCUCUGCUGCUCCUUCUUCUGUCAUACAAAGGAAUUAUGAGAAUUAACUCAAUAGCUGUGGAGUGCUUUGAAAGGUGAAAAUAAUGAAGUGUCAUUCUGCUUCGGGAGCCGCUCUUCCUAAUGAGAUAAAAGUUAAGGUGAGCUGACACAAUUUCUAAAAUAAAUGUCCACUUGUUACAGCAAAGAGAUUAAGGGGCUAAUAAUGCACAUGGCCUCAGAUGACCCCAACAGCAAAACGUUACCUAAAACUCAAGAGAAGGCAUAUAGAUUCUGGAAAUAAAGCAAACAAAAGAA